UUUUAUUCAUAAGAUAUCACCGUGAUCAAAUUAAUAUAAUAUGCGAAUCAAAAUAUUAGAUUUUUCUAAAAUACUGAUCGGAGUUGGUUCUGUUCUCGGGAGAUCUGAGAGAUUGGCGAUGGCUUACGGACGCGCGAUCUUCGACGGCGUGGUGGUGAUCGGAUCGCUUUGUCUCUUGGGAUGGACCGGUCUCUGGUUCCUGAAUCGGCGGCUAUACAAGGAGUACGAAGAGAAGCGAGCCUUGGUCCAGAUCAUCUUCAGCAUCGUCUUCGCUUUCUCUUGCAAUCUCUUGCAGCUCGUCCUGUUCGAAAUCAUCCCUGUUCUCUCUAAAGAGGCCAGGAUGGUAAACUGGAAGGUGGACCUGUUUUGUUUGAUACUACUUCUGGUUUUCAUGUUGCCAUAUUAUCAUUGCUAUUUGAUGCUUCGCAACAGUGGUAUAAGGAAGGAGCGCGCUGCUGUUGGGGCCUUGUUAUUCUUGACGGCCUUCCUUUAUGCUUUCUGGCGCAUGGGCAUUCAUUUUCCCAUGCCUUCACCAGACAAAGGCUUUUUUACCAUGCCUCAGCUGGUCAGCCGAAUUGGGGUCAUUGGUGUGACCGUCAUGGCUGUCUUAUCUGGCUUUGGAGCUGUAAAUUUACCCUACAGUUAUAUAUCACUCUUCAUUAGGGAGAUUGAAGAAUCAGAAAUAAAAUCCUUAGAAAGGCAACUGAUGCAAUCAAUUGAGACUUGCAUAGCAAAGAAGAAGAAAAUUAUCCUCUCUCAAAUGGAGAUGGAACGGAUUCAAGGAUCAGCAGAGAAAAACAAUGGUAGAUCUUUCUUCACAAGGAUUGUUGGAACUGUUGUGCGAUCAGUGCAAGAUGAUCAAAAGGAGCAAGACAUCAAAAUAAUGGAGGCUGAGGUGGAAGGUCUGGAAGAGCUGUCAAAACAGCUAUUCUUGGAAAUUUACGAGCUCCGUCAAGCUAAGGAAGCUGCUGCUUAUUCUCGAACAUGGAGGGGCCAUGUGCAGAAUUUACUUGGCUAUGCAUGUUCCAUUUAUUGUGUGUACAAGAUGAUUAAGUCACUACAAAGCGUUGUUUUCAAGGAGGCUGUUAAGAAAGAUCCUGUGACAAUGAUGAUCAGCAUAUUCUUGCAGUUCUUUGAUAUAGGAGUAGAUGCUGCAUUGCUCUCACAGUACAUUUCCCUGUUGUUUAUAGGGAUGUUGAUUGUGAUAUCUGUGAGAGGAUUCUUGACAAAUUUGAUGAAGUUUUUCUUUGCAGUCUCCAGAGUGGGAAGUGGAUCUUCGAGCAAUGUUGUACUUUUCUUAUCUGAAAUCAUGGGAAUGUACUUCUUGUCUUCCAUUCUUCUCAUACGAAAAAGCUUGAGAAAUGAGUACAGAGGGAUCAUAACAGAUGUUUUGGGUGGAGACAUUCAGUUCGACUUCUAUCAUCGGUGGUUUGAUGCGAUUUUCGUGGCCAGCGCUUUUCUUUCUCUGCUUUUAUUGUCUGCACACUAUACAUCACGUCAAUCCGAUAAGCACCCUAUCGACUAAGCAAAUAUACUUCUCAAGUUUGUUGUUUCCUCACCGUAUGAUAAUCAGAUGGUUGUUUUCCGAGAAUGAAUAUUCCUUACGCAGAGGAGCUUACUGACAAUCAGAAUAUUCCUUACGCAGAUCGUUCUUCUUUUCUGUAUGAAAGCCGUAGAGUGACGGCCAUUGCACUGCAAAGGAGAGGUUCAAUUCGAGAGAACGAGGGCUUUUUGAAAGGCUAAUGGUUGCGAUGAAUUUGAAGAUUGGGGACUUAACCUUUUCAUACAAAAAAAAAAGGGUCUCUCUCGAUAGUUUAACUACGUUGAACUGAAGAACUCUUCGAGUCUGCAAAUAACCAAAGUCCCACUUGGGUUUGCAUAUCAGGUGGCAAUGUAUUCUUUUGGCAAUACAAAAGUUUGGCUCUUGUAAUAGACUCUUCUGUAUAUGAUUGAUUAAAACAAUAAAAUAUGGUCGAUAAAAUGUUUAUAUGAAAGGGAA